rnacentral:rRNA from 1 species
UACAUAGGUCUCAAGCGUUGUUCGGAUUCAUUGGGCGUAAAGGGCGCGUAGGCGGCGCUGUAAGUCGGGUGUGAAAUUUCGGAGCUUAACUCCGAAACUGCAUUCGAUACUGCGGUGCUUGAGGACUGGAGAGGAGACUGGAAUUCAUGGUGUAGCAGUGAAAUGCGUAGAGAUCAUGAGGAAGACCAGUGGCGAAGGCGGGUCUCUGGACAGUUCCUGACACUGAGGCACGAAGGCAAGGGGAGCAAACGGG